UCCCUGGUGGUCCAGUGGCUAAGACUCUGCGUUCCCAAAGCAGGGACCCCAGGUUUCCAUCCCUGGUCAGGGAA
rnacentral:tRNA from 1 species